UACAGAGGUCUCAAGCGUUGUUCGGAUUCAUUGGGCGUAAAGGGUGCGUAGGCGGCGCGGUAAGUCGGGUGUGAAAUCUUGGAGCUUAACUCCGAAACUGCAUUCGAUACUGCCGUGCUUGAGGACUGGAGAGGAGACUGGAAUUUACGGUGUAGCGGUGAAAUGCGUAGAUAUCGUAAGGAAGGCCAGUGGCGAAGGCGGGUCUCUGGACAGUUCCUGACGCUGAGGCACGAAGGUCAGGGGAGCAAACGGG
rnacentral:rRNA from 1 species